AGCCGAAUAGUGUAACGGUAGCACACCUGACUCUGACUCAGUUAGCCUAGGUUCGAAUCCUAGUUCGGCUGCCA
rnacentral:tRNA from 1 species